AACGACUCUCGGCAACGGAUAUCUCGGCUCUCGCAUCGAUGAAGAACGUAGCGAAAUGCGAUACUUGGUGUGAAUUGCAGAAUCCCGCGAACCAUCGAGUUUUGAACGCAAGUUGCGCCCGRARCCAUUAGSCCRRGGSCAGKUUGGSUUGGGUGUCACGCAACG
rnacentral:rRNA from 1 species